UACGGGGGGGGCAAGCGUUGUUCGGAAUUACUGGGCGUAAAGGGCUCGUAGGCGGCCAACUAAGUCGGAUGUGAAAUCCCCAGGCUCAACCUGGGAACUGCAUCCGAUACUGGAUGGCUUGAAUCCGGGAGAGGGAUGCAGAAUUCCAGGUGUAGCGGUGAAAUGCGUAGAUAUCUGGAGGAAUACCGGUGGCGAAGGCGGCAUCCUGGACCGGCAUUGACGCUGAGGCGCGAAAGCUAGGGGAGCAAACGGG
rnacentral:rRNA from 1 species